rnacentral:lncRNA from 1 species
AGGGGCCUCGCCAUGAAGGCUAGGAUCAAAUGAGCUUUGGUGGCUGCUUCUCUACCUAUGGCGACAAUUUUUUUAUGUUUUUUUAUCGAGACAGGUUGCUUCUCCACCUAUGGACCCUAAGUGAGAGGCGUGUAAAUAUGUUUUUGCCAACUCUUUAAAAGAUUUUUGUAGUAGUAUAAAUUAGCGGAGUUAACACUAGAAUGGAGCCUAUGCAAAGCUUUAGACGCCAAUAAGAUCAUGUGUUUUGAAGCUUCAAAAAGAAGACACUACCACUAAGGCCUAAGUGCGCAUCGACGCUAGAGCCCGGGCCAACAAUCCUAGGUCUACCACUGGCAUUAUAGUAA